rnacentral:lncRNA from 1 species
AAGUAAUUACUAUCAUGCUUUUGCUUGCAAAUUAAGCUGUUAUUUUAUUGAUGCAAUGUUUUAGAAAUUGUUUUACUUGUGAAAAUCAUAUUUCACAUUAGCAUGUAAUAAAUUCAUGUCUGUGUGCCUUAAAUUUUGUUGUACUUGUGAGCCUGCUCAUUUUUGUUCAUGUAAUUCUUUUGCAAAGUUGUGAACAGGUUAUAUUUGACUCUAAUGUCUCCUUCAUAUGGUGCUUGAGAUCAACAGUCUCCAUCAGAUUAACAUACCAUUUCUAAUUUAUUGGCAUAUUUAUGCAAAUAACCAAUUUAGAUGGAAAUAUAUCAGUAAUCACCCCUCCAAUAAUAAUUCCAGGCUGGAUUUGGAUAUCAGCAGCAGCUUGUUCCUGGAAUGAGACCUGGUGGUGGUCCGAUGCCAAGUUUCUUUGUUCCAAUGGUUAAGCAGGGCCAACAAGGCCCUCGCCCAGGUGGGCGCCGCGGAGAAGUUGUGAACAGGUUAUAUUUGACUCUAAUGUCUCCUUCAUAUGGUGCUUGAGAUCAACAGUCUCCAUCAGAUUAACAUACCAUUUCUAAUUUAUUGGCAUAUUUAUGCAAAUAACCAAUUUAGAUGGAAAUAUAUCAGUAAUCACCCCUCCAAUAAUAAUUCCAGGCUGGAUUUGGAUAUCAGCAGCAGCUUGUUCCUGGAAUGAGACCUGGUGGUGGUCCGAUGCCAAGUUUCUUUGUUCCAAUGGUUAAGCAGGGCCAACAAGGCCCUCGCCCAGGUGGGCGCCGCGGAGCUGGUCCUGGUCAACA